GAGGGCACUCGGCUGGCUGUUGCCGUGUACCUCGUACUUGAUCUUGUGGAUGUCGCGGUAGAUCGAGUUCAGCGAUUCGGCGAGGUAUUCCAGGCGCUGGUUGACGUGGCUCAGGCUCAACUGGCUGCGGACGCGCUCGUGCAGGCGGUUCUCCAGGCGUUCGAGGCCAUGCAGCAGUUCCUGCGGCGCCACCGGUUUCUGGUAGUAGUCGGCGGCGCCGACCCGCAUGGCCUCGAUCACUUCCUGGCGGCCAUCGUGACCGGUGAGGAUGAUCGAUUCGAAGAACCUGCCGUUGCCGGCGACUUCCUUGAGGCUCUCGAUCAGGCGGAUACCGUUGUCCUGCCCCAGGUAGAGGUCGCAGAUGACCAGGCCGAUGUUCGGGUCGGCCUGGAAGCUGGCGA
rnacentral:sRNA from 1 species